GAGUUUGAUCAUGGCUCAGAAUCAACGCUGGCGGCGUGCCUAACACAUGCAAGUCGAACGCGAAAGUGGAGCAAUCCAUGAGUAGAGUGGCAAACGGGUGAGUAACGCGUGGGCGACCUACCCUUGAGUGGGGGAUAACCUUCCGAAAGGAGGGCUAAUACCGCAUGACAUCCCCUGUUUAGAUACAGGGACAUCAAAGCCGGGGAUCGCAAGACCUGGCGCUUGAGGAGGGGCCCGCGUCCGAUUAGCUAGUUGGCGGUGUAAUGGACCACCAAGGCGACGAUCUAUAGCUGGUCUGAGAGGAUGAUCAGCCACACUGGGACUGAGACACGGCCCAGACUCCUACGGGAGGCAGCAGUGGGGAAUCUUGGACAAUGGGCGCAAGCUUGAUCCAGCCAUGCCGCGUGAGUGAAGAAGGCCUUAGGGUUGUAAAACUCUUUCGCCGGAGAAGAUAAUGACGGUAUCCGGAGAAGAAGCCCCGGCUAACUUCGUGCCAGCAGCCGCA
rnacentral:rRNA from 1 species